GUGUCAGCAGCCGCGGUAAUACGGAGGGUGCGAGCGUUGUUCGGAAUUAUUGGGCGUAAAGCGCGCGUAGGCGGCUCUUUAAGUCUCACUGUGAAAGACCGGGGCUCAACCCCGUAGUAAGCAGGGGAUACUGGAGGGCUGGAGACAGGGAGAGGCGAGUGGAAUUCCGGGUGUAGCGGUGGAAUGCGUAGAGAUCCGGAAGAACACCAGAGGCGAAGGCGACUCGCUGGCCCUGAUCUGACGCUGAGGUGCGAAAGCGUGGGGAGCGAACAGGAUUAGAAACCCGUGUAGUCC
rnacentral:rRNA from 1 species